rnacentral:tRNA from 9 species
UCCUCAGUAGCUCAGU